ACCAAAGUUUUGGUCUUCCUGGUGCACACCAUUCUGGGCUCCCUCCUCCAUAUAGAGCUCCCGGGGACUCCUCCUCUCCGCGCACCCCGGGCUCCCCCGCGCUCACACCCCCUAGCACGUCCGGGGCCACAGGGCGCCCCAGCACCUGAGUCUCCAAAGCCUGACGUUCUCCAAAGCCCGGACCUCUGGCGGUGGAGCCGCCGUGCCCAAGUUUGGAGCUCUCGCCGCUGGCCACCGGGAGACAGAGCUUGACAAAGGAAUGAGACUGCUUCAUUCACUGGAAAUUACCCUGGACUUGAAGUUAGAAGAUCUGGGACAGAAUCUUGUGGCUGAUGCACAUUAGCUACCUGACCUCAGGUAAGUGUAACUUAUCUAAAUCUCAGUUACCUCAUCUGUAAAAGAAAGACACUAUUUAUUAUCCUGAGAACUUCCUAGGGUUGUGCUGGAGAUUCGAUGAGCCAAUGCACAGAAAGGGGCUGUGAAAACUAUAAAAUGCUAUGCACAUGGAAGAAGCUGUCAUUUACUACCCUCUUUGGACUAAUGAUAACUAAGAAGCAUUUUCUUGGUGCCUCUACUGUGAUCACAAUACUAUAUGAGGCCUUAAAGGGGAAAUAUAAGAAAUGAAAGUUUUGGAAGAGUUCAUAAUCCAAAGCAGGGAUUAGGGGGAGUUCUGGUUGUGGCUCAGCAGGUUCAGAACCCCUACAUAGUGUCCAUGAGGAUGGCCUCACUCAGUGGGUUGAGGAUCCAGUGUUGCUGCAAGCUGAGGAGUAGGUCAGAGAUAUGAUAUGGAUCCCACAUUGCUACGCGGUGUAGGCUGGCAGCUGCGGCUCCAAUUGGACCCCUAGCCUGGGAACUUCCAUAUGCCAUAGGUGUGGUCCUAGAAAGAAAAGAAAAAAAAAAAAAGUAGGGACUAAGGCCAAAGGAGUCAAGUCCUUCAGUUCCUACUCUAGUUUGGGAGCUCAGGACUACUUGUUGUUCAUUUGGCCCCAGGCACUGAGGGACCAGGUACUGAGAAGAAUGGGCUAGGAGCUUCCUGUUACAGACCACUGGUCAAUGAGCUGAGGCCCAGAGCCUAGAGUUAACCAACUAACAAGUGGGGUCACUCAUCUGGGGAAGCAGCUCCUACCUGCUGGGGAAUCCUUGCAAGUUCUUCCUUCAGUCUCUGAGAUCUCUACAGACACAUGGCCUAGUGGGGGGUGAAGUCUCAGAGAAGCUGAGACUUUUGGCACACCCAGGCACAAUCCUUGGAAGAUGUCUGGUCCUUAGGCCUAAUGCCUUGGGCUUCUCAAUGGAGCUUUUAUUUCCCUGGGGAGUGAAGGCUUCCAGGCUGCCAACGGGGCCUGCCCCAGACCAAAAAAACUGAGGUUGGAGAAACUACCCUUGUAUAUAUAUAGUUCUUUACUUCUCAAAGAAAAGAGCUCUAGACUCCCCUACUUACUUAAAGAGACCAAGACAUUCACAGUCCUGUGAGUCUGCAUAUAAACUCAUUUUUUUAAAAGCUGAAGGUAUACGACGCAGAGCUCUUUAUCUCAGCUCCCAUUAGCCUCACAUGCUUUCUACAGCUCUUCUCACCUUCAGAAAAAUGGGAUAAAGUGCCCCUCUAUUUAAAUCUAAUUUCUUACUUUUGCUUUUGAUCCUAUACUAAUCCAUAAAUGCAAAAGAAGAAAAAACAGCUAUAGGCACAAAAGAGUGUUCAUUAUAGCAAUAUCAGUAAAAAUCGUAUAAGCUAGAUUUCUGGUUAAAAAAUUGCAGUUUGCUAGCAUAUGUUUAUAUCUUGAGUUCGUGCUCCCACAAAUGUGAUAGAAAGAAAAAUUAUUAUUAUUAUUUUUUUUUGUCUUUUUGCCAUUUCUGGGGCCGCUCCUGCGGCACGUGGAGGUUCCCAGGCUAGGGGUCAAAUCAGAGCUAUAGCCACUGGCCUACACCAGAGCCACAGCAAUGCGGGAUCCGAGCCGCAACCUAUACCACAGCUCACGGCAAUGCCAGAUCCUUAACCUGCUAAGCAAGGCCAGGGAUCGAACCUGCAACCUCAUGGUUCCUAGUCAGAUUCAUUAACCACUGAACCAUGACGGGAACUCCAAUAGAAAGAAAAAUUCUUAAAAAACCACACAGAGAAUAGAAAGCGGACAUCAGUAUAUGAGAGAUUGCAAGAAAUUUUUAGAAAACUGAAAUUUUUUGGAGGAAUAACUACUGAUUAGGCAGGACAAAGGUAACCAGAGAAGGGGCAUGAAAAAAAAGCAAUUUUCAGUUUCUGUUAUGGCUCAGCGAUAAUGAACCCAACUAGUAUCCAUGAGGACACAGGUUCAAUUCCUGACCUGGGUCUUGUGGGUUAAGGAUCUGGCAUUGCCUUGAUCUGUGGAGUAGGUCACAGACUCAGCUCAGAUCCUGUCUUGCUGUGGCUGUGGUGUAGGCUAGCCUCUGAUUUGACCCCUAGCCUGGGAACCUCCAUAUGCCACGGUGCAGCACUAAAAAGACCAAAAAAAAAAAAAAAAAAAAAA
rnacentral:lncRNA from 1 species